rnacentral:rRNA from 1 species
ACGCUAGCGGCAGGCCUAAUACAUGCAAGUCGAACGGGGCAGCAAUGCUUUAGUGGCGCACGGGUGCGUAACGCGUAUACAACCUACCUCUAUCUGGGGGAUAGCCCGGAGAAAUUCGGAUUAACACCGCAUAAGAAGGUAGCCUCGCAUGGGGCAGCCUUUAAAAGAGAUGGAUAGAGAUGGGUAUGCGUCUGAUUAGUUAGUUGGCGGGGUAACGGCCCACCAAGACGAUGAUCAGUAGGGGUUCUGAGAGGAAGGUCCCCCACACUGGCACUGAGAUACGGGCCAGACUCCUACGGGAGGCAGCAGUAGGGAAUAUUGGGCAAUGGUCGGAAGACUGACCCAGCCAUGCCGCGUGAAGGAUGAAGGGUCUACGACUUGUAAACUUCUUCAGCUAGGGAAGAAAAAGAGAGUGCGCUCUUUAUUGACGGUACCUAGAGAAUAAGCACCGGCUAACUACGUGCCAGCAGCCGCGGUAAUACGUAGGGUGCAAGCGUUGUCCGGAUUUAUUGGGUUUAAAGGGUGCGCAGGCGGCCUAUUAAGUCAGUGUUGAAAUACGGCGGCUCAACCGCCGGUCCGGCACUGAUACUGAUGGGCUUGAGUUUACUGGGAGGCAGGCGGAAUUUAUGGUGUAGCGGUGAAAUGCAUAGAUACCAUAAAGAACACCGAUAGCGAAGGCAGCUUGCCGUGGUAUAACUGACGCUCAGGCACGAAAGUGUGGGGAUCAAACAGGAUUAGAUACCCUGGUAGUCCACACUGUAAACGAUGAUUACUCGAUGUUGGCGAUAGACAGU